GACGAACGCUGGCGGCGUGCUUAACACAUACAAGUCGAACGGAAAGGCCCUGCUUUUGUGGGGUGCUCGAGUGGCGAACGGGUGAGUAACACGUGAGUAACCUGCCCUUGACUUUGGGAUAACUUCAGGAAACUGGGGCUAAUACCGGAUAGGAGCUCCUGCUGCGUGGUGGGGGUUGGAAAGUUUCGGCGGUUGGGGAUGGACUCGCGGCUUAUCAGCUUGUUGGUGGGGUAGUGGCUUACCAAGGCUUUGACGGGUAGCCGGCCUGAGAGGGUGACCGGCCACAUUGGGACUGAGAUACGGCCCAGACUCCUACGGGAGGCAGCAGUGGGGAAUAUUGCACAAUGGGCGGAAGCCUGAUGCAGCAACGCCGCGUGCGGGAUGACGGCCUUCGGGUUGUAAACCGCUUUCGCCUGUGACGAAGCGUGAGUGACGGUAAUGGGUAAAGAAGCACCGGCUAACUACGUG
rnacentral:rRNA from 1 species